GGGUCAGUAGGUUGGUCGUGCCACCGGUACGUACUGGUCUCACUGGUUCCUCCUUCCUGAAGAACCGUAAUGCCAUUAAUUUGGUGUUGCGGGGAAACAGGACUGUUACUUUGAAAAAAUUAGAGUGUUUAAAGCAAGCUAACGCUUGAAUACAUUAGCAUGGAAUAAUGAAAUAGGACGAUCGAUCCUAUUUUGCUGGUUUCUAGGAUUGACGUA
rnacentral:rRNA from 1 species